UACGGGGGGAGCAAGCGUUGUUCGGAUUUACUGGGCGUAAAGGGCGCGUAGGCGGCGUGACAAGUCACUUGUGAAAUCUCCGGGCUUAACUCGGAACGGUCAAGUGGUACUGUCGUGCUAGAGUACAGAAGGGGCAACUGGAAUUCUCGGUGUAGCGGUGAAAUGCGUAGAUAUCGAGAGGAACACCUGCGGCGAAGGCGGGUUGCUGGGCUGAUACUGACGCUGAGGCGCGAAAGCCAGGGGAGCGAACGGG
rnacentral:rRNA from 1 species